UACGAAGGGGGCUAGCGUUACUCGGAUUGACUGGGCGUAAAGGGCGCGUAGGCGGUUCGUACAGUCAGACGUGAAAUUCCUGGGCUCAACCUGGGGGCUGCGUUUGAUACGUGCGGGCUUGAGUUCGGAAGAGGGUCGUGGAAUUCCCGGUGUAGAGGUGAAAUUCGUAGAUAUUGGGAAGAACACCGGUGGCGAAGGCGGCGACCUGGUCCGAUACUGACGCUGAGGCGCGAAAGCGUGGGGAGCGAACAGG
rnacentral:rRNA from 1 species